GGGCCACAUGGGGUGAGGUGGGGGCGGGGAAGGCUGGGGUUGCGGUUGCCUAGGAGACGCCACCAGGAUCCAGCAUUCAUCCUUCUCUACCCCGAGGUGAGGGGAGAGAGAGGGAGGAUGGGCUGUGAAGGCAAGGUGGAGUCCCGGGUGCGGAGAGACCUGGCCCAACACACCGGAAGUCCUGGGCUCGGUGUGUUCUCCCAGCAGAUGAGAAGAAGUUUUUUCCUGACAAAAAGAAAAAAUGAAAAAUAGAAGAGGUGAGAAAAGACUUUUGAAAAACCCAUCUUCUUGAUAUGGCAUCCUCUCUGCACUAUCUCCAGAACCUGGCACUUACAGUUCCACAGCACUCAGGAAGAGGAUGAGAAAUCGACCACUGCCUGCCGAGCCUUUGUCAGGCACCCCAGGAGAAGCCAUGAAGAUUUGUGGACUUUCCAUGUCCUGAAGGUGUUGGGCAUCAUCACAAGUCAGUUCCAGAAACUUUCUUCCUCACAUUGACCAAGCCUUGGAACAAAGAAAAUGAGCUCAUUCUGCAGAUGAGGAAAGUGAGGCAAACAGGGUGAAGUGACUUGUGCAAGAUCACACAACCAGGACGUGUCUGAGGCGGAUUUGGAGUCUUCCUGACUCCACUCCAGAACACAGGUGGUCACACCAUCCCUAACUUCUCAGGAAAGGAGG